rnacentral:rRNA from 1 species
UACAUGGGGUGCAAACGUUGCUCGGAAUUAUUGGGCGUAAAGAGCUCGUAGGCGGUUUGUCGCGUCUGCUGUGAAAACCGGAGGCUCAACCUCCGGCCUGCAGUGGGUACGGGCAGACUAGAGUGCGGUAGGGGAGAUUGGAAUUCCUGGUGUAGCGGUGGAAUGCGCAGAUAUCAGGAGGAACACCGAUGGCGAAGGCAGAUCUCUGGGCCGUAACUGACGCUGAGGAGCGAAAGCAUGGGGAGCGAACAGG